rnacentral:rRNA from 1 species
CCUACGGGAGGCAGCAGUGGGGAAUAUUGCACAAUGGGGGGAACCCUGAUGCAGCGACGCCGCGUGAGUGAAGAAGUAUUUCGGUAUGUAAAGCUCUAUCAGCAGGGAAGAAAAUGACGGUACCUGACUAAGAAGCCCCGGCUAACUACGUGCCAGCAGCCGCGGUAAUACGUAGGGGGCAAGCGUUAUCCGGAUUUACUGGGUGUAAAGGGGGCGCAGACGGCUGUGCAAGUCUGGAGUGAAAGGCGGGGGCCCAACCCCCGGACUGCUCUGGAAACUGUAAAGCUGGAGUGCAGGAGAGGUAAGCGGAAUUCCUAGUGUAGCGGUGAAAUGCGUAGAUAUUAGGAGGAACACCAGUGGCGAAGGCGGCUUACUGGACUGCAACUGACGUUGAGGCUCGAAAGCGUGGGGAGCAAACAGGAUUAGAUACCCCUGUAGUC